GGCGGUGAACACCAUCUUGGGGGAGAGAUGGAAGUCCUUGUCCACCGAGCAGCAGGCCAAGUACUACCAGGAGGCCGACGCAGCGAGGCGCCGCCAUGAGCAGCAGCACCCCCAGUGGUCCAGCAGGGACAACUACGGUCAGAAGAGGAAGAGGAGGCAUCAGGGAAGCACAGCUCCCAGCAGCUCUGGAG